rnacentral:rRNA from 1 species
GGAGGAAUCUUGGACAAUGGGGGCAACCCUGAUCCAGCCAUGCCGCGUGAACGAUGAAGGCCUUAGGGUUGUAAAGUUCUUUCAACGGUGAAGAUAAUGACGGUAGCCGUAGAAGAAACCCGCGUAUCAUCCGUGCCAGCAGCCGCGGUAAUACGGAGGGGUUAGCGUUGUUCGGAAUUACUGGGCGUAAAGCGCACGUAGGCGGACUAUUAAGUCAGGGGUGAAAUCCCGGGGCUCAACCCCGGCAACGUAGCCUUUGACUUUGAUACUGGGUAGUCUAGAGUUCGAGAGAGGUGAGUGGAAUUCCCGAGUGUAGAGGUGAAAAUUCGUAGAUAUUCGGAGGAACACCAGUGGCGAAGGCGGCUCACUUGGCUCGAUACUGACGCUGAGGUGCGAAAGCGUGGGGAGCAAACA